rnacentral:lncRNA from 1 species
CGGAGUUAUGCAUCCGGGUUGGAGUAGACCCGAAAGGACGGUCCUAGCUGGUGAGUACCUGCGAUGAUGGACUUAACGUGAGGCAAGUUAAUGUGGCGAAACCCCCCGGGUUAGCCUUAAUGAUUAAAGAGCAAAGAACAAAGAUUAAAGUUAAAGAAUGAAAGAACUUGCAUAAUCUGCAUAUGUUUAAUGUUGAGUAUACUUCCUGCUUUUGUUCAGGCAUAUUAGUAUCAUGUUAUAGAUUGGUUACCAUAUUUCAGCUUAUCCUUUCUAUUAUGCCUGAGUUAGUCCUAGUGGGAAAGUCGGUGAUGUUGAGGCCGAACCCACUGGGAACUUUGUUGUAGUUCUCACCCCACUAUUUCUACAGAGCCGGGACCGAGCGAGCCGGCGAGCGACCGAGGUAAAGGUAUCGCGCCUUAGACAGAGGCCACCAAUGUUGGGUUUCAUUUUGUUAGUAGACACCUUUUCAUCAUCUUUUGUAUGUGAUGAUUAGUAGUGUAAAGAAAAGAAUGUAAAGCUUAUUUUGAGGAAAAUGUGAUGUAAGAAAGAAAUGAUGAAGUUAUGUAAUGGACUGCAAAGAAUUCGAAAAUUAUUAGAUGAAUGCAAUGUAUAUGAUCCAAAAUGAAUCAUGUUACUUGUGAAUGUUUAGUUUCCUUUUUCUUUCACUUAUGGCUAUUGCUUACCCUCGUGUAAGCCGUUUGUGUAUGUUUCCGCUAGUGCAUUUCUGGUUUGAAUUUGUACAUGUGAUGAGCCUUGGGCGGAUAGGGGAAACUCUGUCCGUUCGGCGUCUGUUUGACGUGCUCGGGUCGGGCCAAAUUGGCAUCGGUCCCGGGGCGUGACAGAUAAGUUGGUAUCAGAGCCAAUAGUAAAAGAAUAGGAAUGGACCUAGUGACCCUUAGGAUUGGAAGACCUUAAGGAUCUAGGAAACGUGAAUGACGUGGAAUCAAAGUUAGCGAAAGCAUGUGAUUGGGUUAAGUAGGGACGUCUCUAAUGUGAUUAGAGGCUAAGUUUAAUUUUCGUUUAUCCUCUACUUCUAGUGUUGUGUCGGGCGGCCGACGACAUGACGCUUGAGGCAAGGAUGAAUGUGUAUGUUGCUUUCGCCUAAUUGGGUAUGGUUAAGUAAAGUUGGUCAAGUGACUAAUGCGAGUUGCUUCUUUUCAGGAAGCAAUGGCACCUCGACGUCGAUCGCAGACAAGGUCGAUGCCGGAGGAAGCGAAUGCGAUGCCCGAGCAAUCCGGAGCGAGUGGCGACGGAGAGCUUAGGGAGCAAAUGGCCGCGCUUAUCGGAGUAGUGCGGCAACAAGCGGAGUCUGUUCAACGCCAAGGGGAACAGAUUCAUCGGCUCCAGGAGACCUUAAAGCGCCAGCAGGCGGCGGCGGCCCAGGCGGGUGUCGAGCAUGUCGCGCCCCCUGUGGUAGUGUCGAGUGUUGUUGAGGGAGCGGCGGCAGCGGCGGCUGUUCCAGUUACAGUAGUACCGGCCGGGUCGGGAACCUCAAAUCCCGAUAGCGCGGCAGUAGAUGCGGAGCGAGAGCGCACUUUGGCGGCUCUCAUUCAGUUCAAGAAGUUCGACCCACCUACCUUCGAGGGCGGUUUGGUGGAGCCGGCGAUUGUGGAGUCGUGGAUCGACUCGAUGGAGACGCUCUUCGAGGAUUUGAAUACCUUGGAGAAGGAUAAAGUGUACCUCGCCACCCAUUGUCUAGGGAAGGCGGCGAUGGUAUGGUGGAAGCGAGUUAAGCGGGAUCGUCCUACCGAUCUCCCGCUCAUGCUUUGGGAAGAGUUCAAGAGAGCAGUGUUCGCGAACUACUUCCCCGACACGGUGAAGCGGAAGCUACAAGACAAGUUCCGCAAGUUGAGACAGGGUGAUCGAUCGGUGGGAGAGUAUGAGCAGGAAUUCUCCCACAUUAUUGACUGCGUUCCCGAUGUUGUUCGUGAUGAUCGGGACCGGGCGGAUUGGUUCUUGCGAGGACUUCAACCCCGGAUUUAUGAGAAAGUGCAGAUCUUGAAGUUGUCGACCUUUGCGGAGGUCUUCGAUAGAGCUUUGUGGGCGGAGCACGGUAGCGCCCAUGUACGUGAGGAACGAGAAGCUAUGGCCGAGUCCAAGGACAAAGGCAAGAAGAGGACGGCGGGUGGUGCCGGGGGCCGGCCAAAUGCUAAGAAACCCCCUCGGUAUCCCCGACAGCAGUCGAGGAAUUGGAGACCGCCUCGAUGCGUCAUUUGUGGCGGAGAGCAUAAGGUGUCGACUUGCCCUCAGCGCGAUGGCAAGUGUUUCAAGUGUGGCCAACCGGGACAUCUUAUCCGGGAGUGCCCGUCGUGGACGUCAUCUGCGCCAACGGCGGCUUCAACAACGUCUACCCCGAGACAGCUUGCGGGGUUACCACCGGCGAUGUCGGCUGGGCGCGCGUCAUCACCGCGUCAGCCGGAGGGAUCGAGAGCGCCUAGCGGCCGAGUCUUUGCCGCUCAGGUGGAGGAGCAGCAACCUGCAGCACCCGACGAUGUCGUGGCAGGUAUAAUUGUGAUUAAAGGCACUAUAGCUAGAGCAGUGUUUGAUACAGGCGCAUCUCAUUCAUUCGUUAGCACUUCAUUUGCUAAGACACAUGGCAUAGAGAUGGUGUACAAUGAGGAUUACUGGUGGGUGAACGCCCCAGAACAUUCCUUCAGUGUUCAUAACGAGUGUUUGGCGUGUCCAGUGCAAAUAGGCGAUUGGAUCAUGCCGAUUGAUCUGCUAGUGCUAGAUCAGAUGUGGGGAUUUGAUGUUAUCUUGGGGACCAACUGGCUCUCCAAGUACUAUGCGGUGAUAGAUUGUGAAAGUAAGGUGAUCACUUUUCGUGAGCCUAAUCAAGAAGAGUUAGUCUACCAAGCGUGCAAAAGUAGGCGCUUCGCGGCGACUAUAUCGUCUGUAAGGGCGAAGAAAAUGAUUAAAGGAGGGUGUAAGGCCUAUUUGGCAACCAUGGUGGAUGCUCGAAAGGAGUACCCAGAGUUGGGGGAUAUCCGAGUAGUGUGCGAGUACCCGGAUGUGUUUCCGGCGGAGUUACCGGGACUGCCACCGGACCGGGAAGUUGAGUUUGUCAUUGACUUAAUUCCCGGGGCGGAACCAGUUUCGAAGGCUCCGUAUAGAAUGGCACCGGUGGAGUUAAAGGAGCUAAAAGGUCAACUACAAGACUUGCUCGAUAAAGGCUUCGUGAGACCGAGUGUGUCACCGUGGGGAGCUCCGGUGCUAUUUGUGAAGAAAAAGGAUGGCACACUUCGACUCUGCGUAGAUUAUCGCGAGUUGAAUAAAGUGACGAUAAAGAACAAGUACCCGUUGCCAAGAAUUGACGAUCUAUUCGAUCAGUUGCAAGGGUCCAAGGUGUAUUCAAAGAUUGAUCUCCAAUCGGGGUAUCAUCAAUUAAAGAUUAGGCCAAAGGAUGUGCACAAAACGGCGUACCGUACGCGGUAUGGCCAUUAUGAGUUCACGGUGAUGCCGUUUGGGCUUACUAAUGCCCCGGCAGCAUUUAUGGACUUGAUGAAUCGAGUCUUUAGACCGUUGUUGGAUCGAUGCGUCGUGGUGUUCAUAGACGACGUAUUGGUCUAUUCGAAAAGCGAGGAGGAACAUGAAGAGCAUCUGAGAGCUGUGUUGCAAAUACUCAGACAAGAGAAGCUCUAUGCAAAGUUAAAGAAAAUGUGACUUUUGGCUAAAGGAGGUCACAUUCUUGGGUCAUGUGGUAUCGGGCGACGGAGUUUCGGUAGACCCGAAGAAAGUAGAGGCGAUCAAGGAUUGGCCUCGCCCAACGAAUGUAGCGGAGAUCCGCAGUUUUCUUGGACUGGCGGGCUAUUACCGGCGGUUCGUGGAAGGGGUUCGCCAAAAUAACCACUCCACUAACGCGCCUCACGCAUAAAGGAGUAAAGUACGUUUGGAGCGACGAUUGCGAUCGAAGCUUCGAGGAGUUAAAGAACAGAUUGACGUCGACCCCGGUGCUUGCUUUGCCGACUCCGGGAAGAGACCUUUGUAGUGUACAGUGAUGCCUCGUAUGUUGGUCUCGGGUGUGUAUUAAUGCAAAAUGGGCGAGUUAUUGCUUAUGCAUCACGCCAGUUAAAGAGUUAUGAGAAGAACUACCCGAUUCACGACCUCGAGUUAGCCGCGGUGAUUUUCGCGCUAAAGCUUUGGAGGCAUUACUUGUAUGGUGAACAUUGUGAGGUAUAUACCGAUCAACAAGAGUCUCAAGUACUUGUUCACCCAGAAAGAGUUAAAUAUGCGACAGCGGCGGUGGUUAGAGUUGCUAAAGGACUAUGAUGUCACCAUAUUAUACCACCCCGGAAAAGCCAAUGUUGUGGCCGAUGCCUUGAGUAGAAAAUCGGCGGAGAAUUUAGCGACGGCGAUUACGCCCCAACCGCUAUUACAAAAGGAAAUGCAACGAUUCGGGUUGGAAGUGGUAGCGUCGGGAGUGCCGGCUACACUUGCCACAUUAGUUGUGCAACCGACCCUAUUCGAGAGAAUUAAGGAGUUACAAGCUUCGGAUCCUUAUCUUCAAAAGGUUCUGGGUGAUGUUGAGAAUGGCAAAGCCGAAGACUUUGGCAUUGGGGCUGAUGGCGCACUUCGAUUUUGAAAUCGAUGGUGUGUGCCUAAAGAUGAUGAACUACGAAGGGCGAUCAUGCAAGAAGCGCAUCAAUCCCCCUAUAGUAUACACCCCGGCGGCACUAAAAUGUACAAGGAUUUGAAAGAGCACUAUUGGUGGCCGGGUAUGAAAAGAGAUAUUGGAGAGUUCGUGGCGCAAUGUCUAACGUGCCAACAGGUAAAAGCAGAGCGCCGAUUUCCGGCGGGGAAGCUACAAAGUCUACCAAUACCCGUCUGGAAAUGGGAAAAUAUAACGAUGGACUUUGUUACCGGUUUGCCUCGAUCACAAGGCGGACAUGAUGCGAUAUGGGUAAUAGUAGAUCGAUUGACAAAGUCGGCACACUUCUUGCCGAUACAUACUACGUGGUCGGGAGACAAGCUAGCGCAAGUUUAUCUCGACGAGGUUGUGAGGCUUCAUGGGGUUCCAGUAUCGAUCGUGUCGGAUCGAGACCCCAGGUUCACAUCCCACUUUUGGAAGAGUUUGCAAGAUGCGCUAGGCACACGGCUCGACUUCAGUACGGCGUUUCAUCCUCAAAGUGAUGGACAGUCAGAACGGACGAUACAAAUCCUUGAGGAUUUACUUCGAGCGUGUGUGCUAGAUUACAAAGGAGGAUGGCAUGACUUCUUGCCUAUGGCGGAGUUCGCCUAUAAUAACAGCUAUCAAGAAAGUAUAGCGAUGGCGCCUUUUGAGGCACUGUAUGGAGGUAAGUGUCGUUCUCCUAUUCAUUGGAGCGACGUGGGCGAGAGGACGGCUCUUGGCCCGGAUGUAAUGAGGGAGGCGGAAGAGAAAGUUCGCCUUGCCCGUCAACGGUUAGCGAUGGCGCAAUCUCGGCAAAAGAGUUAUGCCGACAAGCGAAGAAAGGAUUUGGAGUUCGCGGUUGGAGACCGUGUAUUCUUGAGAGUAUCGCCGAUGCGAGGAGUUAAACGAUUCGGGGUCCGUGGGAAGCUAAGUCCCCGAUAUGUCGGACCGUUUGAGAUAUUGGAGCGUGUGGGUGCGGUGGCGUACAAGCUCGCAUUACCACCGAGACUCACGGGAGUUCAUAAUGUUUUCCAUGUGUCGAAUCUUCGAAAGUAUAUCCGAAACGCGGCACAUGUAUUGGAAUACGAGCCCGUGGAGCUACGUGAAGACAUGUCCUAUGAGGAGUACCCCGUGUGCAUCCUCGAUCGAGAAGUUAAGAAGUUGCGAAGUCGCAAAAUUCCAUAUGUGAAAGUCCAAUGGAGCAACCACGCGGCGCGAGAAGCCACUUGGGAGCUCGAGGAGUCAAUGCGGAAAGAGUAUCCGCAUCUGUUUGAAUCGACGAGUUAAGGUAUGCAUAAUUUCGCGGACGAAAUUAUUUUAAGGGGUGGAGAAUGUAAUAUACCGAAAGUUCGAAAAAUAAAAGUCGAACUUUAGUCAAAUUGACCAAAGUGCGAGGAUGGAACACUUCGGAAAGUCCGAAGGUGUUAAAAUGAUUAAAAGUGAGUUGUGGAAGGUUUUCGAGAGCUAAAGAAUUGAAUUCUGCGAAACUGCAGAUUUUCAGCUCUCGGGGACCGGUCCCUGAAGGGAGAGACCGGUCCCCGAACGCGUAUGAAAUGAGACAGCCGAAAAAUCGGCUAAGUCCUCGAAGGAUAGCUCUCGGGAACCGGUCUCUGCCUGAGAGACCGGUCCCCCAGAGACCGGUCCCAUAGGGAGAGACCGGUUGCACUGCGCGCAGCAGCUCUGGCUGCGCUGGGACAACGUUCGGGAACCGGUCCCUGCUCGGGGAGACCGGUCUCUGCCUGCGCGAUCAGCCCUGUCCAGGCUGUGUGAAAGAGUAAAAGUUGAGGGGUUUAGCUGCAAUUUUGCAACCCAAUAGCUAUGUAUUGAGGGUUAAUGAGAUUUUCUCUCAUUUCCUCACCCUCUCACACUCUCUUCUCUCCCUCUCUCUCUAGAAGGCAAAGGAGAAGAAGAAGAAGGAAAGAAAGGAAGGAAAAGAAGGAGAAAAAGGUGAAGGAGAAGAUCAAGGAGCAAGGAGGCUUCAUCUUCUUCUUCUCUAGUGCAAGAAAAAUGAGCUUACAAGGUAGGCUCUUAACCCUAAUGUAGUAAAACCCUAGAAUGAGUUUUGAAUGACCUAGAAAUGGGUUUUAAUGGAAUGAUUAAAGAGUUUUGAAGCUUUCUUUUGCUUCUAAAGAGAUCAAAACCUAGAUUUGCUAUAGAGGUGAGCUUGGACCACCUCUAAUGGUGAAAUCCAAACUAAGGUUUUGGAAAGGCUAAGAAUGGUUCUAAUGGGUUAUUUAGAGUAUAAUGAAGCUACUUUUGCUUCCCAAUGAGAUCAAACCCUAGGUUUGACAUGAGUAUUGGAGCUAGGGCACCAAAUUGGGGCUUUUGCUCAUGAGGGUUUCUAAGUGCAAUUGACCCUCUAAAAACCUAAUUGGGGGUGUUUCCGACGCAUUGGUGCGCUCGGAAUAGCAUUACGAAAAGUCAAAGUAAAGUUAUGAGCAAAAUGGCCUAAUAAGGGUUCGUUUUGCCGCAGGUAAAGAACGAGACGUCUAAAAAUCCCGAGAAAAUCGUCGGAGCACCUAAAUAGACCUGCAAGGUGGGUGGUGCUUUCCAAACUCAUUGAAAUUCUCUCUAUGCCUAAUGUGUCAUUCUUUGAGCAUAUGUUAUAUAUAUUGUUGCAUGCAUUUAGGGUAAAAUAAUGAUGAGAUAUGACGUUGCAUGAUUGUGAGCACAACUUGCAUAAUGAGAUGGUUGAGAAUCUAAUAAUGUCAAAACCCUAGAUGUAUGCAUGAGAGAAAAUGUGAGCACCCAAGGUGAGCAAAAGAACAGAGUGGCAAUGACAUAGAUCGAGUGGCAUUUGAAAACAUAAAGUAAAGUGACACUAGAGUUAGUGUGAGCCAAAGAACCAAAGUGAUGUAAAGAAUGAUGAAAAUGACAAUGUGUAAAGUUAAAGUAAAGUGGGGCAAUAAGAACGAGAAAUGUAAAGAAUAUAAUUGCUAGAGUUAGCAAAAGUAAAAGAAAAGUAAAGAAUAACGAUUGCAUGAGUUGCAACAUAAAGUGAUGUAAUGAACACUAGAGCUAGUGUAAAGUCAAGAUUGAACUUAUAAAUCCUUUGAGUUAAGGAUAUGAUCAUACUUGCUAUGAGUUCCGUGCUCGAGGGUGGUCGCUCUCCCUCGAGCGAUGCGCUCCGGAGUUUAUGCAUCCGGGUUGGAGUAAACCCGUAAGGACGGUCCUAGCUGGUGAGUUCCUGCGAUGAUGGACUUAAUGUGAAGCAAGUUAAUGUGGCGAAACCCCCGGGUUAGCCUUAAUGAUUAAAGAGCAAAGAACAAAGAUUAAAGUUAAAGAAUGAAAGAACUUGCAUAAUCUGCAUAUGUUUAAUGUUGAGCAUACUUCCUGCUUUUGUUCAGGCAUAUUAGUAUCAUGUUAUAGAUUGGUUACCAUAUUUCAGCUUAUCCUUUCUAUUAUGCCUGAGUUAGUCCUAGUGGGAAAGUCGGUGAUGUUGAGGCCGAACCCACUGGGAACUUUGUUGUAGUUCUCACCCCACUAUUGCUACAGAGCCGGGACCGAGCGAGCCGGCGAGUGACCGAGGUAAAGGUAUCGCGCCUUAGACAGAGGCCACCAAUGUUGGGUUUCAUUUUGUUAGUAGACACCCUUUCAUCAUCUUUUGUAUGUGAUGAUUAGUAGUGUAAAGAAAAGAAUGUAAAGCUUAUUUUGAGGAAAAUGUGAUGUAAGAAAGAAAUGAUGAAGUUAUGUAAUGGAAUGCAAAGAAUUCGAAAAUUAUUAGAUGAAUGCAAUGUGUAUGAUCCAAAAUGAAUCAUGUUACUUGUGAAUGUUUAGUUUCCUUUUUCUUUCACUUAUGGCU